ACGAACGCUGGCGGCGUGCUUAACCCCUGCAAGUCGAACGGAAAGGCCCUGCUUGCCGGGUACUCGAGUGGCGAACGGGUGAGUAACACGUGGGUGAUCUGCCCUGCACUUCGGGAUAAGCCUGGGAAACUGGGUCUAAUACCGGAUAGGAGCCAUUUUUAGUGUUGGUUGGAAAGUUUUUUCGGUGUAGGAUGAGCUCGCGGCCUAUCAGCUUGUUGGUGGGGUAAUGGCCUACCAAGGCGGCGACGGGUAGCCGGCCUGAGAGGGUGGACGGCCACAUUGGGACUGAGAUACGGCCCAGACUCCUACGGGGGGCAGCAGGGGGGAAUAUUGCACAAGGGGCGCAAGCCUGAUGCAGCGACGCCGCGGGGGGGAGGACGGCCUUCGGGUUGUAAACUCCUUUCGCUAGGGACGAAGCUUUUUGUGACGGUACCUAGAGAAGAAGCACCGGCUAACUACGUG
rnacentral:rRNA from 1 species